AGUUUUCGAUUAUUUUAUUUAUUUUUUUAUUAUUAUUUUUAUUUAUUUAUUUAUUUUUGUAAAAAAAUAUUUAUUUAUUUAUUUAUUUAUUUAUUUCGUUUUUUUCGUUUUUCUUUCUUUUUUUUUCAUUUUUUUUUAAAAGUUUUUUGGACCAAAUCCUGAUUGACAUGAUGAAAUGCAAUAUGAAAUGUUAAAUGAAUGCAUGAAUGAGGAGGGCAAAUUUUG
rnacentral:lncRNA from 1 species